GGGUUUACUGCCAUGGGAGGUUACCUUACUGAAGCAGGCGAGGUCAUGUUAGACAGAGUAGAACAUUUUAUCCACUCUGUUGCUGUCUACGAAUAUCAAAAUUUUCAGAAGCAGGCUCGCAUACAGCAGGCAUUGGAGAAUAAUGAAGAAAUGAGAUCUAGAUCAAGAAGAGUCAUCAGAAGAAUUACAAAGUCCAGUUGUUGACAAGGUUAGAUUAAGGGAGCCUGGAUACAAGGAAAGGUAUUAUGCAGAGAAAUUUCAUGUGUCAACUCCUGAGGAGAUAGAGAGAGUUAAGAAGGAAACGAUGCUUCAGUUUCGGCCGCAGUUCCUUCUCAUAGAUUGUGUGGCCUCAUCAGUACAUUUGCCCUUGGAUAACUGUUAUUUCUUUUGUUUGUGAAGUUCUCAAUUGCUAGUAUUUUCCUAUCUGUCUAAUUAUUACAACUGCAGUUUUGUAUCGAGGUUAAUGGUUGAUGGCAU